AUGAACGCUAGCUACAGGCUUAACACAUGCAAGUCGAGGGGCAGCAUGGUCUUAGCUUGCUAAGGCCGAUGGCGACCGGCGCACGGGUGAGUAACACGUAUCCAACCUGCCGUCUACUCUUGGAUAGCCUUCUGAAAGGAAGAUUAAUACAAGAUGGCAUCAUGAGUCCGCAUGUUCACAUGAUUAAAGGUAUUCCGGUAGACGAUGGGGAUGCGUUCCAUUAGAUAGUAGGCGGGGUAACGGCCCACCUAGUCUUCGAUGGAUAGGGGUUCUGAGAGGAAGGUCCCCCACAUUGGAACUGAGACACGGUCCAAACUCCUACGGGAGGCAGCAGUGAGGAAUAUUGGUCAAUGGGCGAGAGCCUGAACCAGCCAAGUAGCGUGAAGGAUGACUGCCCUAUGGGUUGUAAACUUCUUUUAUAAAGGAAUAAAGUCGGGUAUGGAUACCCGUUUGCAUGUACUUUAUGAAUAAGGAUCGGCUAACUCCGUGCCAGCAGCCGCGGUAAUACGGAGGAUCCGAGCGUUAUCCGGAUUUAUUGGGUUUAAAGGGAGCGUAGAUGGAUGUUUAAGUCAGUUGUGAAAGUUUGCGGCUCAACCGUAAAAUUGCAGUUGAUACUGGAUAUCUUGAGUGCAGUUGAGGCAGGCGGAAUUCGUGGUGUAGCGGUGAAAUGCUUAGAUAUCACGAAGAACUCCGAUUGCGAAGGCAGCCUGCUAAGCUGCAACUGACAUUGAGGCUCGAAAGUGUGGGUAUCAAACAGGAUUAGAUACCCUGGUAGUCCACGCCGUAAACGAUGAAUACUAGGUGUUGGGAAGCAUUGCUUCUCGGUGCCGUCGCAAACGCAGUAAGUAUUCCACCUGGGGAGUACGCCGGCAACGGUGAAACUCAAAGGAAUUGACGGGGGCCCGCACAAGCGGAGGAACAUGUGGUUUAAUUCGAUGAUACGCGAGGAACCUUACCCGGGCUUAAAUUGCAGAUGAAUUACGGUGAAAGCCGUAAGCCGCAAGGCAUCUGUGAAGGUGCUGCAUGGUUGUCGUCAGCUCGUGCCGUGAGGUGUCGGCUUAAGUGCCAUAACGAGCGCAACCCUUGUUGUCAGUUACUAACAGGUUCCGCUGAGGACUCUGACAAGACUGCCAUCGUAAGAUGUGAGGAAGGUGGGGAUGACGUCAAAUCAGCACGGCCCUUACGUCCGGGGCUACACACGUGUUACAAUGGGGGGUACAGAGGGCCGCUACCACGCGAGUGGAUGCCAAUCCCCAAAACCUCUCUCAGUUCGGACUGGAGUCUGCAACCCGACUCCACGAAGCUGGAUUCGCUAGUAAUCGCGCAUCAGCCACGGCGCGGUGAAUACGUUCCCGGGCCUUGUACACACCGCCCGUCAAGCCAUGGGAGCCGGGGGUACCUGAAGUGCGUAACCGCGAGGAGCGCCCUAGGGUAAAACUGGUGACUGGGGCU
rnacentral:rRNA from 1 species